GUGGGAGUGCCGGAGUGGUCAAACGGGCUGGGCUUAGGACCCAGUAGCUUAGUGCUUACUAAGGUUCGAAUCCUUACUCCCACA
rnacentral:tRNA from 1 species